GGAAAUGUGCCCGAGACUAGGGACUACCUUGAUAGAGUAGCUACAGGACCACACCCCUCAUUUCCU
rnacentral:tRNA from 1 species